rnacentral:rRNA from 1 species
AUUGAACGCUGGCGGAAUGCUUUACACAUGCAAGUCGAACGGGAGCACGGACUUCGGUCUGGUGGCGAGUGGCGAACGGGUGAGUAAUGUAUCGGAACGUGCCCAGUCGUGGGGGAUAACGUAGUGAAAAUUACGCUAAUACCGCAUACGAUCUAUGGAUGAAAGCGGGGGAUCGCAAGACCUCGCGCGAUUGGAGCGGCCGAUAUCAGAUUAGGUAGUUGGUGGGGUAAAGGCCCACCAAGCCACCGAUCUGUAGCUGGUCUGAGAGGACGACCAGCCACACUGGAACUGAGACACGGUCCAGACUCCUACGGGGGGCAGCAGUGGGGAAUUUUGGACAAUGGGCGAAAGCCUGAUCCAGCCAUUCCGCGUGCAGGAUGAAGGCCCUCGGGUUGUAAACUGCUUUUGUACAGAACGAAAAGGUUUCUACUAAUACUAGGAGCUCAUGACGGUACUGUAAGAAUAAGCACCGGCUAACUACGUGCCAGCCGCCGCAGUAA